AAUCAACGUUGGCGGCGCGCUUAACACAUGCAAGUCGAACGAGAAAGGGGAGCAAUCCCUGAGUAAAGUGGCGUACGGGUGAGUAACACGUGGGUAAUCUACCUUUUGGUGGGGGAUAACCUGGGGAAACCUGGGCUAAUACCGCAUAAUCCCGCAAGGGAAAAGCAGCAAUGCGCCGAUAGAGGAGCCCGCGGCCGAUUAGCUAGUUGGUGGGGUAAAGGCUCACCAAGGCGAAGAUCGGUAGCCGGCCUGAGAGGGCACACGGCCACACUGGCACUGAAACACGGGCCAGACUCCUACGGGAGGCAGCAGUGGGGAAUCUUGCACAAUGGGGGAAACCCUGAUGCAGCGACGCCGCGUGAGCGAUGAAGUCCUUCGGGAUGUAGAGCUCUUUCGACGGGAACGAUAAUGACGGUACCCGGAGAAGAAGCUGCGGCUAACUACGUGCCAGCCGCCCGCGGUAACAC
rnacentral:rRNA from 1 species